UGGGGAAUCUUGCGCAAUGGAGGAAACUCUGACGCAGCCACGCCGCGUGCAGGAAGACACCCCUCAGGGGCGUAAACUGCUUUUAUACGGGAAGAACACCCUACUCGGUAGGGUCUGACGGUACCGUACGAAUAAGCACCGGCUAACUCCGUGCCAGCAGCCGCGGUAAUACGGAGGGUGCAAGCGUUGUCCGGAAUCACUGGGUGUAAAGGGUGUGUAGGCGGACU
rnacentral:rRNA from 1 species